rnacentral:rRNA from 1 species
GACGAACGCUGGCGGCGUGCUUAACACAUGCAAGUCGAACGGAAAGGCCCUGCUUUUGUGGGGUGCUCGAGUGGCGAACGGGUGAGUAACACGUGUGUAACCUGCCCUUGACUUUGGGAUAACUUCAGGAAACUGGGGCUAAUACCGGAUAGGAGCUCCUGCUGCAUGGUGGGGGUUGGAAAGUUUCGGCGGUUGGGGAUGGACUCGCGGCUUAUCAGCUUGUUGGUGGGGUAGUGGCUUACCAAGGCUUUGACGGGUAGCCGGCCUGAGGGGGUGACCGGCCACAUUGGGACUGAGAUACGGCCCAGACUCCUACGGGAGGCAGCAGUGGGGAAUAUUGCACAAUGGGCGGAAGCCUGAUGCAGCAACGCCGCGUGCGGGAUGACGGCCUUCGGGUUGUAAACCGCUUUCGCCUGUGACGAAGCGUGAGUGACGGUAAUGGGUAAAGAAGCACCGGCUAACUACGU